CUGAGUUCCCUGGCCAGGCGUAUUACCAUGAGCAAAUCAGAAUGCUCAAAGUAGGCCUACGCGCCUGAAUGUGUUAGCAUGGAAUAAUAAAAUAGGACUCGAGUCUUGUUUUGUUGGUUUACUUGACAUUGAGAAAUGAUGAAUAGGAACGGUUGGGGGCAUUUGUAUUUGGCCGCUAGAGGUGAAAUUCUUGGAUUGGCCGAAGACAAACUACUGCGAAAGCAUUUGACCCAGGACGUUUUCAUUGAUCAGGGACUAAAGUUGAGGGAUCGAAGACGAUUAGAUACCGUCGUAGUCUUAACCACAAACUAUGCCGACUAGCGAUUGGGCCUUGACCUUUGGUCAGGUUCAGCAGCUUAGCGAAAGUAAAGUCUUUGGGUUCUGGGGGGAGUAUGGGACGCAAGGCUGAAACUUAAAGGAAUUGACGGAAGGGCACCACCAGGAGUGGAGCCUGCGGCUUAAUUUGACUCAACACGGGGAAACUCACCAGGUCCAGACAUAAGAAGGAUUGACAGAUUGAAAGCUCUUUCUAGAUUUUAUGGGUGGUGGUGCAUGGCCGUUCUUAGUUCGUGGAGUGAUUUGUCUGGUUAAUUCCGAUAACGAACGAGACCUUAUUCUGCUAAAUAGCUGGGUCAACUUUUUAGUUGGCGCUAUGGUUUCUUCGGAGACCCCAGCUUCUUAGAGAGACUACUGAAUUCAAUUCAGUGGAAGUUUUAGGCAAUAACAGGUCUGUGAUGCCCUUAGAUGUUCUGGGCCGCACGCGCGCUACACUGACAAAAUCAGCGAGUUUUAUUCCUUGGCCGGAAGGUCUGGGUAAACUUUUGAAAUUUUGUCGUGCUGGGGAUAGAACAUUGCAAUUAUUGUUCUUCAACGAGGAAUUCCUAGUAAGCGCAAGUCAUCAGCUUGCGUUGAUUACGUCCCUGCCCUUUGUACACACCGCCCGUCGCUACUACCGAUUGAAUGGUCAUAGUGAGCAUGUGGGAUCACCCGCACCAGGAUGGCAACAUCUCGGUAUGGGAGAGAACUAUGGCAAACUAGAUUAUUUAGAGGAAGUAAAAGUCGUAACAAGGUUUCCGUAGGUGAACCUGCGGAAGGAUCAUUA
rnacentral:ncRNA from 1 species